rnacentral:ribozyme from 13 species
AAAAAAAAAACAAAGCAUUAAAAAUGCAAAAGGAAAGAAAAAAAAAGAAAAAAAGAAAAGUGUCAAUUGUAUUAUUUGUUUUCUAUCUGUUAUUUAUUUUUUAGGUACUUCCAAAACGGGAAAAUGUUGCUGGAA